UACGUAGGGUGCAAGCGUUGUCCGGAAUUAUUGGGCGUAAAGAGCUCGUAGGCGGUCUGUCGCGUCGGCUGUGAAAACUCGGGGCUCAACCCCGAGCCUGCAGUCGAUACGGGCAGACUAGAGUGCGGUAGGGGAGACUGGAAUUCCUGGUGUAGCGGUGAAAUGCGCAGAUAUCAGGAGGAACACCGGUGGCGAAGGCGGGUCUCUGGGCAGUAACUGACGCUGAGGAGCGAAAGCGUGGGGAGCGAACAGG
rnacentral:rRNA from 1 species